GGCGAACGGGUGAGUAACACGUGAGCAAUCUGCCCUUGACUCUGGGAUAACUGCGGGAAACUGUAGCUAAUACCGGAUACGACCUUGGAAGGCAUCUUCUGGGGUGGAAAGAAUUUUGGUCAAGGAUGAGCUCGCGGCCUAUCAGCUAGUUGGUGAGGUAAUGGCUCACCAAGGCGACGACGGGUAGCCGGCCUGAGAGGGUGACCGGCCACACUGGGACUGAGACACGGCCCAGACUCCUACGGGAGGCAGCAGUGGGGAAUAUUGCACAAUGGGCGCAAGCCUGAUGCAGCGACGCCGCGUGGGGGAUGAAGGCCUUCGGGUUGUAAACCUCUUUCAGUAGGGAAGAAGCGAAAGUGACGGUACCUGCAGAAGAAGCGCCGGCUAACUACGUGCCAGCAGCCGCGGUAAUACGUAGGGCGCAAGCGUUAUCCGGAAUUAUUGGGCGUAAAGAGCUCGUAGGCGGUUUGUCGCGUCUGCCGUGAAAGUCCGGGGCUUAACUCCGGAUCUGCGGUGGGUACGGGCAGACUAGAGUGAUGUAGGGGAGACUGGAAUUCCUGGUGUAGCGGUGAAAUGCGCAGAUAUCAGGAGGAACACCGAUGGCGAAGGCAGGUCUCUGGGCAUUAACUGACGCUGAGGAGCGAAAGCAUGGGGAGCGAACAGGAUUAGAUACCCUGGUAGUCCAUGCCGUAAACGUUGGGCACUAGGUGUGGGGGACAUUCCACGUUUU
rnacentral:rRNA from 1 species